UGUCUUUUUGGGUUAAUAUAAAGUCUAUUCUGCCCACUGAUUUUAUUAAAGGGCUGCAGUAUAUUGACUGUACAAAGGUAGCAUAAUCAUUAGUCAUUUAAUUGAUGACUUGUAUGAAGGAUUGGAUGAAAUAUAAGCUGUCUCUUAAUUAUAAAUAGAAUUUAAUUUUUUAAUUAAAAAGUUAAAAUAAUUUAAAAAGACGAGAAGACCCUAUAGAGUUUUAUAUAUAAUUUAAUUAAGAUUGUUUAAUAAUAUUAAAUUAAAAUUAAUUUAUAUAUUUUAUUGGGGUGAUAAAAAAAUAUAUUUAACUUUUUUUAUAUUAUAUAUAUAUAUAUAUAUAUAUAUAUAUAUAUAUAUAAACAUAUAUAAGUGAUUAAAUGAUCCAAUAUUAUUGAUUAUAAGAAAAAAUUACCUUAGGGAUAACAGCGUAAUUUUUUUUUUUAGUUCGUAUAAGAAAAAGAGUUUGCGACCUCGAUGUUGGAUUAAGAUAAAAUUUAAAUGUAGAAG
rnacentral:rRNA from 1 species